rnacentral:lncRNA from 1 species
UACACUUUCAAAGGUACAGAACGUUUGCAGUUAAAAAUCACAUAAUUAAAUGAUUUAAAACUCUCAGCACCAAGACCAAAUCAAAAAGUCAAUAUUUAUGUAAACAUGACAAAACUCAGCCUCCAGAUAUACAGUCUUACUGCUUAUUUCAGAAGGAGCUGGAUGUAUAAAUCUGGGGGUGUGAUAUGUUUGACGAGGGCUUGGCUGUUGUGAGUAAGAGCACUUAUUCUUAUGGAUGUUAAACUGGAGAGUUCUGUAGAUGUAUGAUAUUUUGGUCUUAAUUUCUCAUAUGUGUGAGUCAAGACCUCCAUCGUUAUGUUAAUUAGCACAGUCUGAAGGCCCUGGCCUUCCAGCUUGUCAGUCUUUAGCUCCUGAGUGCUCUCUGGGAGGACUCUAGCGCCCAGGGUAUCAGCAGGAAUGGGGCCAGCUUGAAUCCUCAUAGAGGAGGAUGCAAAUUUAAAGGCUUUGGGUACAAACUUUUCUAUCAUAGGUAGAGGUACAGAAGAGUCUUAAUGCAGGGGGUAGGACACAGACACUGUAGUGUUGUAUGACAUUGUAGGGAGCUCCUAGGAGAGGUCCUAGGGCUAGGGGAAGGUUGUUAAGAGGGGUCUGAGCUGGGCCAUCCCCAGCUUGCAGCUGGUGGCUGGAUCCCUGUUGGAGGGAAAGCAGCUGCCACACAGCUGUGGCAGCUUGCAAAAGGACAAGACAGCUGCAGAGCCACUCUGCAGCCAGAAGUAACUGUAAGGAUUUGGUCCAGCUGUGAGCAAGAGACAGAAUUUCCCUUCAGGAGAUGCAUGAAGUGCAAGCUGGCUGAAUUGUGGUUGCUCUGGAAACCAUCCUUUGAGUCUCUUUACUCUAAGGGUGUCAACUUACUUAUGGCUUCCAAAAUGGAGUUGUUGGAAGGGAGACCUCAAAGGAUGCUGAGGAUACUGAUGUCUCACAUUAAGAAUCUCUAAGAGUAUGUUUAGCACAACAGGUGAAAACGCGUGAAUCUCCUGGGAUCUAGUGCCAGGUGCAUGGAAGCCUGAGGUUUAGGCUGGAUUGGAGCUCCAGGACCGUACUCUUGACCAUGCUGGAGCCUUUGUGGUUUUCCAGGCUGAUCCAACAGCCC